AGAGUUUGAUCCUGGCUCAGGACGAACGCUGGCGGCGCGCCUAACACAUGCAAGUCGAACGAGCGAGAGAGAGCUUGCUUUCUCGAGCGAGUGGCGAACGGGUGAGUAACGCGUGAGGAACCUGCCUCAAAGAGGGGGACAACAGUUGGAAACGACUGCUAAUACCGCAUAAGCCCACGGCUCGGCAUCGAGCAGGGGGAAAAGGAGCAAUCCGCUUUGAGAUGGCCUCGCGUCCGAUUAGCUAGUUGGUGAGGUAACGGCCCACCAAGGCGACGAUCGGUAGCCGGACUGAGAGGUUGAACGGCCACAUUGGGACUGAGACACGGCCCAGACUCCUACGGGAGGCAGCAGUGGGGAAUAUUGCACAAUGGGGGAAACCCUGAUGCAGCGACGCCGCGUGGAGGAAGAAGGUCUUCGGAUUGUAAACUCCUGUUGUUGGGGAAGAUAAUGACGGUACCCAACAAGGAAGUGACGGCUAACUACGUGCCAGCAGCCGCGGU
rnacentral:rRNA from 1 species